ACUCUGGCAACUGAGAAAACAACCCUGGCAAGCGACGGAGGUUCGACCAGCCUUACUCUGAGCAACCACUGGGUCCGUUCCUAUCGCACCUCAAUUAAUUACUUCUUUUCUCUCGGAGUUCUCAUCGCCAGGAACUAGGUGUUCUGCCUUCGACCUUCCCCACACUCCAGCCUCCAAGACACAGUCACAGGCCACAAGCCAGAAACGAAUCUGCAGUUUAGUGACCAACUCAACCCAAAUGCCACUUCACCACUGUUUAUUCUAGGCCGGAAAAAGCAUAGUCUCUCGCCCUGUCCCUAGCUUCUGCACUUUACCCAUAUGCUUACAAUUUCCUGGGCCGGGGGCGGGUGCCAGACAGAUGACAGGGAAUCAAAGGUGAACCUCAGCGCACCUUUCUCAAAGGUGCGUGUCACAGCUAUAGAUAGCCCCCCCCCCCCAACCCGCAUGGCCCUCGGCUCUGGUGGGCGUCUCAUCUUCGCCAUCUCGUGGCUACGUGGGAAAGGUUCAGCAUGGAGAAAGGGCCAGAGCCCAGUGAAGGCUAGGGAACUGAAGACGGAAAAGUGAGGAGGAGGGCACCGGCAACUAGAGGAACGAACCAGGCGAGGCCGAGAGCAGACGGUGCGGUGGAGUGCUGUGAGAUGGAAAAGCUACCGCUCCUGGAGGGAUGGUGAAAGUUGAGAAUACAUACACAUCUCCCCGGAGAAAAGAGCUGGAGGGAACCUUUGAGUGGCCCUGUAACUGGAAGUUCACUUUGCCUGAUCGCUUCUGAUCUCAGUGAGCCAGCGCCUAGCCAUAGCCCUAUCUGCAAACUGUCCUAUAGUCUCCUUCCUCAGGACCGCUGAGCCCCGCCCUAGUGUCAAUUCACCAUCCCAAGCGGGACUGGGAUUACUUUUAGGCCCUUUUGACCUUUAGAGCCAAGACCACGGGUUUUCCACUACCUUUGCCUUGUUCCCUUUUGGGGAACUUAGAUGUCCUGCGCCCCGACUCUGACAUUGCUUUUCCCAAGACUCAAAUGCCUUGCCCGACCUCUCCAGAGAGUCUGACGUCCCGCCCCUCCCC
rnacentral:lncRNA from 1 species